UUGCCCCAGUAACGGCGAGUGAAGCGGCAACAGCUCAAAUUUGAAAUCUGGCCCCCAGGGUCCGAGUUGUAAUUUGCAGAGGAUGAUUUUGGCGAGGUGCCUUCCGAGUUCCCUGGAACGGGACGCCACAGAGGGUGAGAGCCCCGUCUGGUUGGACGCCGAGCCUAUGUAAAUCUCCUUCGACGAGUCGAGUAGUUUGGGAAUGCUGCUCUAAAUGGGAGGUAUAUGUCUUCUAAAGCUAAAUAUUGGCCAGAGACCGAUAGCGCACAAGUAGAGUGAUCGAAAGAUGAAAAGCACUUUGAAAAGAGGGUUAAAUAGUACGUGAAAUUGUUGAAAGGGAAGCGCUCAUGACCAGACUUGGGCCCGGUGAAUCAUCCAGCGUUCUCGCUGGUGCACUUUGCCGGGCUCAGGCCAGCAUCAGUUUGCCCCGGGGGAUAAAGGCUUUGGGAAUGUGGCUCCUCCGGGAGUGUUAUAGCCCAUUGCAUAAUAUCCUGGGGCGGACUGAGGUUCGCGCAUCUGCAAGGAUGCUGGCGUAAUGGUCAUCAGCGACCCGUCUUGAAACACGGACCAAGGAGUCGUCUUCGUAUGCGAGUGUUCGGGUGUAAAACCCCUACGCGUAAUGAAAGUGAACGCAGGUGAGAGCUUCGGCGCAUCAUCGACCGAUCCUGAUGUUCUCGGAUGGAUUUGAGUAAGAGCAUACGGGGCCGGACCCGAAAGAAGGUGAACUAUGCCUGUAUAGGGUGAAGCCAGAGGAAACUCUGGUGGAGGCUCGCAGCGGUUCUGACGUGCAAAUCGAUCGUCAAAUAUGGGCAUGGGGCGAAAGACUAAUCGAAC
rnacentral:rRNA from 1 species